rnacentral:misc_RNA from 1 species
GAAAUGCGAUAAGUAAUGUGAAUUGCAGAAUUCCGUGAAUCAUCGAAUCUUUGAACGCACCUUGCGCCCCUUGGCUAUUCCGAAGGGCAUGCCUGUUUGAGUAUCAUGAACACCUCAACUCCCAUGGUUCGCCAUGGUGAGCUUGGACUUUGGGGGUUUUGCUGGCCCAUGGUCGGCUCCUCUCAAAUGAAUUAGCCUGCCAGUGUUUGGUGGCAUCACAGGUGUGAUAAAUAUCUACGCUUGCGAUUGCCCACCAGGUAACCUUCAGCAAUGAGGGUUCACUGGGGCUCAUAGACGUCUCUCCCUCAGCGAGGACAGUUUUUAACGUUCGAUCUCAAAUCAGGUAGGACUACCCGCUGAACUUAA